UUAAGCGACUAAGCGUACACGGUGGAUGCCCUGGCAGUCAGAGGCGAUGAAGGACGUGCUAAUCUGCGAAAAGCGUCGGUAAGGUGAUAUGAACCGUUAUAACCGGCGAUGUCCGAAUGGGGAAACCCAGUGCAAUUCGUUGCACUAUCGUUAACUGAAUACAUAGGUUAACGAGGCGAACCGGGGGAACUGAAACAUCUAAGUACCCCGAGGAAAAGAAAUCAACCGAGAUUCCCCCAGUAGCGGCGAGCGAACGGGGAGCAGCCCAGAGUCUGAAUCAGCUUGUGUGUUAGUGGAACGGUCUGGAAAGUCCGACGGUACAGGGUGAUAGUCCCGUACACCAAAAUGCACAGGUUGUGAACUCGAAGAGUAGGGCGGGACACGUGGUAUCCUGUCUGAAUAUGGGGGGACCAUCCUCCAAGGCUAAAUACUCCUGACUGACCGAUAGUGAACCAGUACCGUGAGGGAAAGGCGAAAAGAACCCCGGCGAGGGGAGUGAAAAAGAACCUGAAACCGUGUACGUACAAGCAGUGGGAGCACCUUCGGGUGUGACUGCGUACCUUUUGUAUAAUGGGUCAGCGACUUAUAUUCUGUAGCAAGGUUAACCGUAUAGGGGAGCCGCAGGGAAAGCGAGUCUUAACUGGGCGUUAAGUUGCAGGGUAUAGACCCGAAACCCGGUGAUCUAGCCAUGGGCAGGUUGAAGGUUGGGUAACACUAACUGGAGGACCGAACCGACUAAUGUUGAAAAAUUAGCGGAUGACUUGUGGCUGGGGGUGAAAGGCCAAUCAAACCGGGAGAUAGCUGGUUCUCCCCGAAAGCUAUUUAGGUAGCGCCUCGUGAACUCAUCUUCGGGGGUAGAGCACUGUUUCGGCUAGGGGGUCAUCCCGACUUACCAACCCGAUGCAAACUACGAAUACCGAAGAAUGUUAUCACGGGAGACACACGGCGGGUGCUAACGUCCGUCGUGAAGAGGGAAACAACCCAGACCGCCAGCUAAGGUCCCAAAGUCAUGGUUAAGUGGGAAACGAUGUGGGAAGGCACAGACAGCCAGGAUGUUGGCUUAGAAGCAGCCAUCAUUUAAAGAAAGCGUAAUAGCUCACUGGUCGAGUCGGCCUGCGCGGAAGAUGUAACGGGGCUAAACCAUGCACCGAAGCUGCGGCAGCGACACUAUGUGUUGUUGGGUAGGGGAGCGUUCUGUAAGCCUGCGAAGGUGACCUGUGAGGGUUGCUGGAGGUAUCAGAAGUGCGAAUGCUGACAUAAGUAACGAUAAAGCGGGUGAAAAGCCCGCUCGCCGGAAGACCAAGGGUUCCUGUCCAACGUUAAUCGGGGCAGGGUGAGUCGACCCCUAAGGCGAGGCCGAAAGGCGUAGUCGAUGGGAAACAGGUUAAUAUUCCUGUACUUGGUGUUACUGCGAAGGGGGGACGGAGAAGGCUAUGUUAGCCGGGCGACGGUUGUCCCGGUUUAAGCAUGUAGGCUGGUUGUCCAGGCAAAUCCGGAUAAUCAAGGCUGAGGUGUGAUGACGAGGCACUACGGUGCUGAAGUAACAAAUGCCCUGCUUCCAGGAAAAGCCUCUAAGCAUCAGGUAACAUUAAAUCGUACCCCAAACCGACACAGGUGGUCAGGUAGAGAAUACCAAGGCGCUUGAGAGAACUCGGGUGAAGGAACUAGGCAAAAUGGUGCCGUAACUUCGGGAGAAGGCACGCUGGUGUGUAGGUGAAGCCCCUGCGGGUGGAGCUGAGACCAGUCGAAGAUACCAGCUGGCUGCAACUGUUUAUUAAAAACACAGCACUGUGCAAACACGAAAGUGGACGUAUACGGUGUGACGCCUGCCCGGUGCCGGAAGGUUAAUUGAUGGGGUUAUCCGUAAGGAGAAGCUCUUGAUCGAAGCCCCGGUAAACGGCGGCCGUAACUAUAACGGUCCUAAGGUAGCGAAAUUCCUUGUCGGGUAAGUUCCGACCUGCACGAAUGGCGUAAUGAUGGCCAGGCUGUCUCCACCCGAGACUCAGUGAAAUUGAACUCGCUGUGAAGAUGCAGUGUACCCGCGGCAAGACGGAAAGACCCCGUGAACCUUUACUAUAGCUUGACACUGAACAUUGAGCCUUGAUGUGUAGGAUAGGUGGGAGGCUUUGAAGCGUGGACGCCAGUCUGCGUGGAGCCAACCUUGAAAUACCACCCUUUAAUGUUUGAUGUUCUAACGUUGGCCCCUUACCGGGGUUGCGGACAGUGUCUGGUGGGUAGUUUGACUGGGGCGGUCUCCUCCUAAAGCGUAACGGAGGAGCACGAAGGUUAGCUAAUCCUGGUCGGACAUCAGGAGGUUAGUGCAAUGGCAUAAGCUAGCUUGACUGCGAGCGUGACGGCGCGAGCAGGUGCGAAAGCAGGUCAUAGUGAUCCGGUGGUUCUGAAUGGAAGGGCCAUCGCUCAACGGAUAAAAGGUACUCCGGGGAUAACAGGCUGAUACCGCCCAAGAGUUCAUAUCGACGGCGGUGUUUGGCACCUCGAUGUCGGCUCAUCACAUCCUGGGGCUGAAGUAGGUCCCAAGGGUAUGGCUGUUCGCCAUUUAAAGUGGUACGCGAGCUGGGUUUAGAACGUCGUGAGACAGUUCGGUCCCUAUCUGCCGUGGGCGCUGGAGAAUUGAGGGGGGCUGCUCCUAGUACGAGAGGACCGGAGUGGACGCAUCACUGGUGUUCGGGUUGUCAUGCCAAUGGCACUGCCCGGUAGCUAAAUGCGGAAGAGAUAAGUGCUGAAAGCAUCUAAGCACGAAACUUGCCCCGAGAUGAGUUCUCCCUGAGACUUUAAGUCUCCUGAAGGAACGUUGAAGACGACGACGUUGAUAGGCCGGGUGUGUAAGCGCAGCGAUGCGUUGAGCUAACCGGUACUAAUGAACCGUGAGGCUUAACCUU
rnacentral:rRNA from 1 species